GCCACACCUCUUUCUCCUCAUCUCCUCUCUCCCUCUGUUGUUCUCUUACAACGAGAACCACUAGAGAAUAAUCAUGUAGAUAGUGGCCAAGUAAACUCAACUGCUCGACCACUGCCAACCCUUUUUCCCAAACACCGCCGACUUGGAAAAACCUACAGAAACAACACCAGCUCCAGCGGCUUCGACCAACAAGCGGUGAAUAAUGACUCUGGGCGACGAGAAUAACAACGCUCCAGCCAGUGGCUACGAGGUCUACAACAAUGACGGCCAGAAUAUCGAUCCAACACGGUAGCUCAAGUUUUUCAGUCGGCUUAAAGACAAAUCUGUUAAGGGAAUCAGAAGUCUUGAUGUGCCAUGGAGGAUGGAUAGGUUUUCAAGGCUUGAAGAUGAAGUAUUAGUGAGUCCUCAUCAAUUCGAGGAUAAUAUCCACAUGUCCCUUAUGUCAUACUCUUCAUCUUAUUGUCUUUUAUGGGAUUAGUCCCAAGUGUUGUAUACUCUAAAGUUUAGAUGGUUCA
rnacentral:misc_RNA from 1 species